GCCCCCAUAGCUCAGCGGUCAGAGCAGACGACUCAUAAUCGUUUGGUCGCUGGUUCAAUCCCAGCUGGGGGCA
rfam:Avibacterium paragallinarum JF4211, WGS project CBMK01000000 data, contig: 18-3-45-14-71-52